UUCAAAUCUGACAACAGUGGCUAAUGGCGCCAUUUUUGUUAUUAAUGAGCGUGACGCGCAUGCGGCAUGCUGGUUAAAAAUAUGGCGCAGCUUCUACGUGAUCGUUUAAAAAAGAUGCGGCUAGCGUCUGGCCGCACAGAGAUACACAACUGUCGGUCUGAUAUUCAUGAACUUUGGGACCUGGAUUAUAAAUUAUAUUUUCUGAUCUCCCAAGACGCGGAAUCCGAGCGGACGCCCAGCCUCAUGACUGAAACUUUUGUGGAUCCGACUGAAAUCGUGUCAAUGUUUAUCGAGGCCUAGUUUGGCGACUUGUACUUGGCCUAUGAGAAGGCCGCAGUGAUGCCAAGUGGGCCGCGGGAGCGCUAUGUUUGAAAUCGCUGCGUUGGUUAUUCGGGAGAGUUUCAUCAGGUGUCCCACAGCAGCUUGAUGGAAUCAGACUCCGGUACCAUCAGUAAUGAGCCGAACGGGUCGGUGGUGUGUCGCUAUGACUCGCUCAUCUGAGGCGCCAUUGGUGGGGGAGAUUUGAGAUCAAACAGCCUGAAAAAGGCCUCGCCUGUUGAGUUUGAGUCGCUACAUCAUACUGAGCCGAUGGACACUGGAAGAGAGGAGACGCAGCGAGCUUCUCCUGCUGGGCAGAUCUGAGAGAAGAAAAUGAGAAUUUAAUUAUACCGUCCUGAUGAGAAGCUUCUAUUAGACCCAGAUGAACUCCAGACAUCCAUGCCUGGUUCCCUUCAUUCAUCCAACCUGGUUGCCUUCAUUCAUCCAUCCAUCCUGUUUUCCUCUUUCUAUCCAUUCUGGUUCCAUCCAUCCAUCCAUCCAUCCAUCUGACCGCCCGCCCACCCACCUUGUCAUUAUUGCUAUGUUUACUCUAUCUGGAAUGUUUAACUUUUUCUCCAAUGUUUAACAAAAGGAAACUUUUCUGGAGAUGAAAUUUGACAUCUUAUAAACAUUGACAAUAAUGUUAAACAUCAAGGAUAACGUUAAGCAUUAUCCUUGAUUAAAUAAAAAAUCGGGGACAACGUUAAAUAUCCUAGGUAUUAAAUGCUAAACAAAGGAGAUAAAGUUAAACAUUCAGUGAAUAAUUUAAACAUCCUGUUUUCAAAUGGUGAUAAAUGUGCAAAUAUACUUAAAGUUUAGCAUUAAGUGCUAGUUAAAGGGAUUUUAAUAAAGUGCAAAGGUGCUCAUAAAGUGCUGUACAAGUUAGCUCAAUAAAACUGAUGGCAGUGAUGAAGACCUCUGGCCCAUUUGGGACAAAUAACUGUCCACACCUUGCUGCAAUCUGACUCAUAUGAGGUGGGACCCUUUGUUCAGUUACAAACCAGUCAUAAGUCCAUCCAUCUGUUCUGUAGAGGAUUAUGCUUUAUUCAGCUGUCCAACCUUUUAAAAACAAAAUAUAUCUUCAGAUAUUUUUUUUUCUCCUAAUCAUGACUUUUAAACCUGUUUGUCCUGUUCAGUAUUGGUCUUGUUUCAACAUUUCUUGCUGCUUCUUAGCCAUGUUGUUGAGCAAUAUAACGUUCUCAUGAAAUGCAUUUUAGAAUAUUUGUUUAUCUUUUUCUGUGCUGUAUAGUGUUUAUUUUUACCAUUUUGCCUGGGAGAAAGAAAUAUGGUCACCUUGAUAUAACUGUAGGUCACACCCAUCCACACUACACAAAUGGCUGCCUGAGAGGGCUAAAGUCCAAAAGGCAUUGUAACCUUGGGUAAUAAAACAUUACUAAAUUAU